rnacentral:lncRNA from 1 species
ACGUAGUCCAAGACAGGGUUUUAUCCUCUACGUAGUCCAAGACAGGGUUUUAUCCUCUACGUAGUCCAAGACAGGGUUUUAUCCUCUACGUAGUCCAAGACAGGGUUUUAUCCUCUACGUAGUCCAAGACAGGGUUUUAUCUUCUACGUAGUUCAAGACAGGGUUUUAUCUUCUACGUAGUUCAAGACAGGGUUUUAUCCUCUACGUAGUCCAAGACAGGGUUUUAUCCUCUACGUAGUCCAAGACAGGGUUUUAUCCUCUACGUAGUCCAAGACAGGGUUUUAUCAUCUACGUAGUCCAAGACAGGGUUUUAUCCUGGUGUCUACGUAGUCCAAGACAGGGUUUUAUCCUCUACGUAGUCCAAGACAGGGUUUUAUCCUGGUGUCUACAUAGUUCUGUAGUCCAAGACAGGGUUUUAUCCUCUACGUAGUCCAAGACAGGGUUUUAUCCUGGUGUCUACAUAGUUCUGUAGUCCAAGACAGGGUUUUAUCCUCUACGUAGUCCUGUCUGUGUGUGUCUGAACUACUACCGUAGACUCUGGUCUCUCGUGUCCUCCAGGCUUGACCUCUAACCUGAAUGUAGGCCUGGACAUGGGGUCUGGUGUGGGCUGUAAGGAGCCUCAGUCUCGUCUGAAGAAAUGGACGGCCAUGGACGUUAACUCGCCUCUGGAGCGAAAACCUGGUGCCAUGUCGUCUGGGCUGCGUCUGGAAGAUUCUCCCUUCGGUCCGCACGACUUCCUGUCUGCUGGCUCCGCCCC